rnacentral:misc_RNA from 1 species
GGGAAAGCCAGAUGAAGCAAUGCAAAUUCUUUAUGAGAUGGCAAAUAAGGGUUGCAAACCCAAUGCUUUCACUUAUAGCUCCUUGAUGAAGGGAUUCUUUGAGACAGGUAAUAGCCAUAAAGCCAUUGAAGUGUGGAGAGACAUGGAAAAGAAUAAUUGUAUUCAGAAUGAGGUUUGUUAUAGUGUACUAAUUCAUGGGCUAUGCAAGAAUGGGAAUGUCAAGGAGGCAAUGAUGGUGUGGGAACAAAUGUUGG